UACGUAGGUGGCAAGCGUUGUCCGGAUUUACUGGGCGUAAAGAGCGCGCAGGCGGUCGUUCAAGUCGCGUGUGAAAGCCCCCGGCUCAACUGGGGAGGGUCACGCGAUACUGAUCGACUCGAAGGCAGGAGAGGGUAGUGGAAUUCCCGGUGUAGUGGUGAAAUGCGUAGAUAUCGGGAGGAACACCAGUGGCGAAGGCGAUUACCUGGCCUGUUCUUGACGCUGAGGCGCGAAAGCUAGGGGAGCAAACGGG
rnacentral:rRNA from 1 species